AUGACCCUUUUUACACUUGGCAUAAGCUUAACCUUAUUGAUCCUCUACUGUUUAAGGAUGUUUGAUUAUGAGGAUGUUACUAUUGGCUCAUGGAUGCUUGCCAUGAAUGUAAAUCAUGAAGACAACCGUGCAAUGUGUGAUUCCACAUGCACUCCCAGCUCCAUUGCUGUAUGGGACAGCAAGAUAUGUUCAGGCUCUUGUAACCCCAUUGAGAAAAUAAAGGAGCUGCACAACACAACUUUGUGCUCAAAAAGCCCAACAUUACCGCCUGAAGUGGAGGAGGAAGACCUCUUGCUGCCGGAGGACACGUGCAGAAGAUACCACAAGACCAGCGGGGUAUUUGAGUGCAUACCACCAAUUGAUCGUGCAAACAACGUCCGCGUUAGGUUCAGUAUGAUCAGGGUUAUUUAUAGUUGGUGCCAUCUGAUUCCAGUUGUCUGGCCCCAUCUUGUGAUGGUUGUAAUUAUGCUCGUUGCUUAG
rnacentral:rRNA from 1 species